UCUUAUCAAGAGAAGCGGAGGGAACUGGCCCGUCGAUGCUUCAGCAACCAGCCAAACGGUCAGGUGCUACUUCCAGCGGAUGUUAAAGUCCGGCAGAUGAGG
rnacentral:ncRNA from 1 species